GUGAAACUGGUUGCAAGUGGUUAGUGAAAAAAAAAAAUAAAAUAAAAACUAAAAUUUAUUUUUUUUUCUUUCUUUAUAUUUACAAUCUGUUUAAAAAACAAACUAAAAUGGCAUCUAAAAUUGUGUGUGAUCAGUGCUCUAAGUCCUUUGAAUUAACAGUAUGAUAUGCUCAUUAUGAGGAAUGCUCGGAUCGUGUAAAUGCUUUUGAAUUAUGACCAAAGGGUCAAGCAAAGGGUCAAGCUAUCAAAAAGCAUCAACGACAGGCUCAUCAAAACGUCCUAGAUUGAAGACUUCUCUGGAAAAAGCCAAUAUCACCUGUACAACUUGCGGCGAAAGUUACCUGCCGUCUAGGGAAAUGCGUCAUAUAUUGUUAGAAAAACAUAAGAAUGCAACAGCAGCCCAACUCGAGGAUAAUGAAAAUGUUUUUGUAAUUUCAACAGAGUCGCGAUUUCCUUUAAAAACAUAUCGUGUUCGCUCUGAUAAAAGUGACCGGCUCGAUUCAAAAGAAUUUUAUAAUGAUUGCAAAGCGGACUUAACCAAAUUAGUGCUUUACUGUAUGAGUGAGUACGGGUCGGUGAAGUUCAAUCUAAAAGUAUAUGGACUGUAUGUCAAACAAACAGAUGAUGAAACCUUAAAGGAAACUAUGAAGCAUUUCGUGACAUCAUAUAAGGCAUCAUAUAUAUGCAAAUGAGGAGAUUGAUGAACAUCUGAAUGAUACCCUUGACCAUUUAAUCACUCUAAGUAGUGAAUUCCAGGAGAAGGAUUCAGGUCAGGGCAAUAAAAAAAUUUGAAUAUUUUGAGCUGACAAUAAUUAAUUGCAACAUAUCGCUGUUAAUAGAUUUAUACAAGCUCCCAAUAAAAUAAAAUCACGAAAUGCAUUAAUAAAUUUAAAAAAUGAAAAUGAUUAUUGCUUCAAGUAGUAAAUUUUAGCAUCAUUGGCAUAUAGACGGCACUUGAGCACUACAUUCGCAACAGCAAACCAAAAAAAAAAGCACAAGAUAACUUAACAAACCCUUUAUAUUAUCGAAUGAUAGACAUCAGGCAGAACAUAAUUUGCUAUGAAGGAGUGCGGAAGAGUUGCUGCACAAUAUCCUACUCCAAAUACCAAAAAGGGUUUCACAAGUUUCAUCAAAAAACGAUCUCCUCCUGUGGUCAUUUAUGCUGAUAUCGAGGCUGUAUUGGAAAGUUUUCAUAGGAAUCUGAAUGAUCCCUUAAAAUCAUCUACCACUAUGGCUCCGAAGCAUACGGCAUGUGCAGUGUCAUUUUAUGUUGUACAUAAAUAUAAUCAUCAUUUAAAUGAGAUGUGGACAUAUGAAGGUAAAUAUUAUCACAAUCUAAAGGUAGUAAAACUGUUAAAAACAUUAAGAUUUACGAUAUUUCAGGACCAGAUUGUAUCGAUAAAUUUUGCCAUGUGCUUCGAUCGAAACCCAUGGGACUUUAUGAGAAGUACUGGAAAUCCGCUAAAAACCAAUCUACGAGUUCAACAUUUGGGAUGAGGAAUAUCAGAAACAUGGAGAGUGAUAUGCCUGUGAUGGACCCAUUUCGACUGACGCCCGGGAGAAGUUUUUUAACCAAUUCACAGGUCAAUAUUUAGGUCCUAUUCAUAAGGUUUGUAAGCAAAAAUUUAAACUAAGCGAUCCUUUUUUCCGGUGGUUUUUCAUAACUUGUCUCGUUAUGAUAUUCAUUUAUUUGUAACAUCAAUAAAAGAGGAACUUAAACCCAUACCAUGUAACAAAGAGUUAUACAUUGCGCUAACUCAAAUUGUUGAGAUUGAUUUUUCAAAUCAUCAGCAUUAUAAAAUAAGAUAUAUAGAUUCAAAUAGAUUUUUAAAUUCGAGCUUAGAAAAACUUGCUAGUUAUAUGGAUCCAUCGAAUUUUAAAAUUAAAAAAACAAGUAUCAAGAGGAAAAAUUUGAUAUGUAAGGCGAAAAAUAGUAUUUCCAUACGAAUAUUUAGAUAGCUUUAACAAAUUUGACGAUCCCCAACUACCUUCGAGUGCAUUUUUUUUCAACUCACUGAGUGAUGAGGAGUGUGGUUUAGAAGACUAUAACUUUGCUCAGAAGGAUUAGAGAACAUUUGAUUGCAGAUUCGAGCUUAUUUGAAAUUAUACUUAGAAAGCGAUGUUUUAAUUCUUGCUGAUGUAUUUGAAAACUUUAGGAGUAUUUGCUGACGAAUAUAUAAGUUAGACCCAAUAAAUUAUGUUUCUGCUCCUUCUGUUUCAUGGGAUGCAAUGCUUAAAUAUACAAAAAUAGAAUUGGAGCUAGUUAGUGAUCUGGAUAUAUAUAACUUUUUGAAAACUUCAGGACACAGAGGCUUAACUCAAUGCACUCAACGGAUAGCUACGGCAAAAAAUAAAUAUUUAAAUGAAAGAUUCAGGGCCAGUGAUUCUAUAAACUAUCUAGCGUACAUUGAUGCUAACAAUUUAUAUGGUUGGGCAAUGAGCCAUCCACUUCCAUGUUCCAAUUCCAAAUAUCUAAGUAACGAUGAAAUUCAAUCUUUCAACGCUCUAAGUAUAUCUGCUUGCGGGGAUGUAGGAUACAUCUUAAAAGUAGAUCUGAAAUAUCCUGAUGCUAUACACAAUAAACAUAAUAGUUUACCAUUCUGCCCCGAUAUUAAGAUUCCUUCAGGCGGAAAACAAUCAAAAUUGAUAGCGGACUUAUCUGAUAAAAAGAAUUAUAUAAUACAUUUGAAACAGUUGCAGUUAUGGAUAGAACAAGGUAUGAUUUUAGAAAAAAUAUCGCGAGUAUUAUCUUUUAAGCAAUCCUGUUGGCUUAAACCCUAUAUUGAUCUAAAUACAUCCCAUAGAAAAGUAGCUAAGAAUGAGUUUAAGAUAAACUUUUAUAAAUUAAUGGUUAAUGCUGUCUACGGUAAAACGAUGGAGAAUGUAGAAAAGCGACGUGAGGUCGCAUAAAUUAAACAUUAUAAUUCAAGACAAAAUUCCGCAGGGUUUAGACAUAAUUUUCACAGUGUUGAAAUCUUUGGUGAAAGUUUAGCUUCCAUUGAGUCCACUAAAUCAAGAAUUUUGUAUGAUUAACCCAUAUACAUUGGAGUUUGUGUACUAGAACUUUCAAAAUGGUUAAUGUAAGACUAUUUCUAUAAUUUUCAUUCUCUAAAAUGCCCAUCAUCAAAAAUACUCUACAUGGAUACAGAUUCAUUUAUUAAAUCAUCAACAGAAGAUUUUUAUGGAUUAAUUAAAGACAAUCCUGGUCGCUACCUCAAAUUAUCAAUAACAAAGAACUAGGUUUAAUGAAAGACGAAAAUGCGGGUCUUAUAAUGACCUCAUUUGCAAGGUUAAAAGCGAAAGCAUACUCUUAUUUAGUUGCCAAAGCUAAUAGCACUGACCAUAACGUCAAAAAGAUUAAAAGUCGGUAGUUAAACGAUUAUCACAUGCUCAGUAUAUUGAAUGCAUUAAACAUAAAAAAACAUAUUAUGGACAGCAGAGAGUAAUCAGAAGCAGAGGUCAUACAAUUUAUACUGAAAUUGUAAAUAAGAUAAGUCUAAAUUAUAAGGAUGACAAAAGAUUUAUAUUAUCCGAUAAUAUUUCAACGUUAGCACAUAAUCACUUUGAAAUUGUAAAUAAUAUAGAUUCUAGUAAUAAUGAGC
rnacentral:lncRNA from 1 species